UCUCCAUGAUGUUCCAAUAGAUCCUGCUGACCUUUCACUAUGUACUCAGAAAGGAUCUGAAGAGAAUCUUUUUACUGAGAGA
rfam:Xenopus laevis strain J chromosome 8L, whole genome shotgun sequence.